UUUUAAAUUACAUUGAAUUUGAUAUCAAUGGGAGCGCCUGCCAGAGGAAAUAGGUCAUAAAUAAAAUUCAAAAUAGCAUUAUCAACACACAGAACUUUAUACACACGGAAAAGAAUGUAAAGAAGCUGGGAUUAAUUUCAAAUCUCACGAUAGAAAUUUCCCUAGAUCAAAGACGGUGGACCUUGAAGAUUUAUUAGAGGAACUUGAAGCACUCAUCCUAAGCAGAGGAAUGCGGAAUAAAUGAUUCAACGCCAAAUUCCACAGCGACAUCAGGCUUCAGUGUAGGAACGAUAGCAAGCUUCAGUGUAGGAGAAAGGCCCAUGCUGAGAGUAGUGAACAAUGAUAGACGAUUACGUUAUUUUUGUAAAUUUGUUCAAUCAAACAAUUAAAUUAAAUUAUUAAAGGUUGAUCUGAUUUUGAUUCUGAAUAAAGCCUGUCGGAAACAUCUCAUGCUGUCUUAGUGCAUAAAGC